rnacentral:rRNA from 1 species
UACAGAGGGUGCAAGCGUUGUUCGGAAUUAUUGGGCGUAAAGCGGGUGUAGGUGGCUUGGUAAGUCAGGUGUGAAAGCCCAGGGCUUAACCCUGGAAGUGCAUUUGAAACUGCCGAGCUUGAGUGUGGGAGAGGAUAGUGGAAUUCCUGGUGUAGUGGUGAAAUACGUAGAUAUCAGGAGGAACAUCGGUGGCGAAGGCGGCUAUCUGGCCCAACACUGACACUCAGACCCGAAAGCGUGGGGAUCAAACAGG